rnacentral:rRNA from 1 species
CAACGUGCCGAUGACUCGGGGAUAGCCUUUCGAAAGAAAGAUUAAUACCCGAUGGCAUAGUUCUUCCGCAUGGUGGAACUAUUAAAGAAUUCCGGUCAUCGAUGGGGAUGCGUUCCAUUAGGUUGUUGGCGGGGUAACGGCCCACCAAGCCUUCGAUGGAUAGGGGUUCUGAGAGGAAGGUCCCCCACAUUGGAACUGAGACACGGUCCAAACUCCUACGGGAGGCAGCAGUGAGGAAUAUUGGUCAAUGGACGAGAGUCUGAACCAGCCAAGUAGCGUGAAGGAUGACUGCCCUAUGGGUAGUAAACUUCUUUUAUACGGGAAUAAAGUGAGGCACGUGUGCCUUUUUGUGUGUACCGUAUGAAUAAGGAUCGGCUAACUCCGUGCCAGCAGCCGCGGUAAUACGGAGGAUCCGAGCGUUAUCCGGAUUUAUUGGGUUUAAAGGGAGCGUAGGCGGACGCUUAAGUCAGUUGUGAAAGUUUGCGGCUCAACCGUAAAAUUGCAGUUGAUACUGGGUGUCUUGAGUACAGUAGAGGCAGGCGGAAUUCGUGGUGUAGCGGUGAAAUGCUUAGAUAUCACGAAGAACUCCGAUUG